rnacentral:rRNA from 1 species
UACAGAAGGUGCGAGCGUUAAUCGGAAUUACUGGGCGUAAAGAGUGCGUAGGUGGUUUAUUAAGUCAGGCGUGAAAUCCACGGGCUCAACCCGUGAACUGCGUUUGAAACUGGUAGGCUAGAGUAUGGUAGAGGGAAGUGGAAUUUCAGGUGUAGCGGUGAAAUGCGUAGAUAUCUGAAGGAACACCAGUGGCGAAGGCGACUUCCUGGCCCAAUACUGACACUGAGGCACGAAAGCGUGGGGAUCAAACAGG